rnacentral:snRNA from 1 species
CAUAAAAAUGAUAUAGCUUACUAAAAUGGGGUGAUACAGAGAAGAUUAGAAUGGCACCUGCGCAAGGAUGACAUGCAAAUUCAUGAAGCUUUCCAUUAAAAA